AGUCGCCACGGUAAUACGAAGGGUGCAAGCGUUAAUCGGAAUUACUGGGCGUAAAGCGCGCGUAGGUGGUUCAUUAAGUUGGAUGUGAAAGCCCUGGGCUCAACCUGGGAACUGCAUCCAAAACUGGUGAGCUAGAGUACGGUAGAGGGUAGUGGAAUUUCCUGUGUAGCGGUGAAAUGCGUAGAUAUAGGAAGGAACACCAGUGGCGAAGGCGACUACCUGGACUGAUACUGACACUGAGGUGCGAAAGCGUGGGGAGCAAACAGGAUUAGAUACCCGCGUAGUCCCUGUCUCUUAUACA
rnacentral:rRNA from 1 species